rnacentral:rRNA from 1 species
CGCGGCCUAUCAGCUUGUUGGCGGGGUAAUGGCCCACCAAGGCGACGACGGGUAGCUGGUCUGAGAGGAUGGCCAGCCACAUUGGGACUGAGAGACGGCCCAGACUCCUACGGGAGGCAGCAGUGGGGAAUCUUGCGCAAUGGCCGAAAGGCUGACGCAGCGACGCCGCGUGGGGGAUGAAGGUUUUCGGAUCGUAAACCCCUGUUGCCCGGGACGAAUGGCCCUUUUCGAGGGGUUUGACGGUACCGGGUGAGGAAGCACCGGCUAACUCCGUGCCAGCAGCCGCGGUAAUACGGAGGGUGCGAGCGUUGUCCGGAAUCACUGGGCGUAAAGGGCGCGUAGGCGGCUGGGGAAGUCCGUGGUGAAAGCUCGUGGCUCAACUACGAGUCGGCCAUGGAUACUCCUCGGCUCGAGUCGACUAGAGGCAGAUGGAAUUCCGGGUGUAGCGGUGGAAUGCGUAGAGAUCCGGAAGAACACCGGUGGCGAAGGCGGUCUGCUGGGGUCGAACUGACGCUGAGGCGCGACAGCGUGGGGAGCAAACAGGAUUAGAUACCCUGGUAGUCCACGCCGUAAACGAUGGGCACUAGGUGCUUGGGGGAGCGACCCUCUGGGUGCCGGCGCUAACGCAGGAAGUACCCCGCCUGGGGAGUACGG